rnacentral:lncRNA from 1 species
GCCAACAUGGCCAAUCUACCGUUCUUGAUCUCCUUGAGUUUCAACUCCUUCAUGGACUUCUCGUUUUUACCAAACCCAAGAGGGUUAAAGAAAGGUCCACCAGGGUAAGCCGGUUCACCUGAACCGGAAAAGCCUUUCUCUAAACCCAAGAAGUACUGUUUGCCCAUAGAUCCAGGGUUGUACCAGUCUUGCAACCUCCGGUGCUCAGCGAAUCCCAUCAGAGCCAUCUCGAGAACAAAGAGUGUGUAGUUGUCUGCCCAGUAACUGUAUGUCCCUGCAGGUGGAAUCACACCGGUUUGGAACCAGGGAAGAGCAGUCUCUGCUGGAAUCAGACCGGCUUUGCCUAGAAUCUCAGGAGCAAUAGCUCCAGCUGCACCCAACAUGGCGAAACGUCCGUUGAUGAUCUCUCCGUAUGCUAGCCAUCUCGGCUCGAUGAACCCUCCAGUACCUUCUGGGUCUGAAAGACCAAGCGGGUCAAAUCCAUAGUCUCCAGGUAAGCUGCAAGAAUCACAAGAUCUCCCUAGUUAUGAACCAUUGUCUAUAAAGUCUACACAUUUUUAAGAUCAUAAUGGUUAAAAGAAACGAAGUCUUUGGAAUUACCUGCCAUCCAAGUAAGUGAGACUCUGAGAGGAUGCAAACCACAAUGGUCUGUUUGCUCCUUGCUGAAACAAAAUUCACAGAAAAAGAAGAUUCAGAUUAUUCAGUGCAUAGAAAAAGAGAGAUUUGUGAAAAAGACUAGAGACUGUCAUGUACCUUGACAGGUGGAGUUGAAGUAGCCUUAACGACAAAGGAACUCUUCCUCUGUGAAGUGGACACAGCUGGUUUUGUGCCGAAGAUCUGUCUAGCGGUCUGAACAGAGGAGGUAAGUGAAGAAGACACAAGUGCUUGUGCUGCCAUUAUUUUGCUCUGUUCCUUAACUCUUUCUCUUCUGUGUCACCAAGAGAUGAUGAAGAUGAUGGUUCAGUAAUGGUUUUGCAGGGGAAAUGUUAGAGAACAACGAACAAGGUCCAUUAGAACUACUUGUGGCUUUGAAAUAGCACAACUGGUUUUGCUCAGAUUAGAUUAGUAUCUGCUUCACCAACUAUAUUUGUCCACGUGGCAACAUAAGUUGGAUAAGGGAUGUUGUUUCUCUGUUUCUCCUUAUCUGCCACACAAGAAAUAAAAAAAAAUCUUUACCUAGAAGCCUAUUGGUUAUAAAAUAUUGUAUGCUUUAUAGAUUGGAAAUUGUAAUGGAUAUGUGCUUCUGUGCAUAAAGAACCAAAUUGGCAUUUUGAUACGGUUAGCAAAGAAAGUUCUCAAUUGCUUCAUAGUCCAUUCAAAUGUUAGUGCAACAUUCUAAUUACACACUCUAAUUACUUCAAAUUCCGUAAAUCGGUUCGGUUUUCAUUCGACUAAUAAAAAAGUAGGUUCGGUUUGAUAACUUUGGUUCGGUUCGGGAAAAAGAUAUAAAAAAACAAUGAUUGCUGCUACAAUAUUUAGGAGUAUAAAUAAAUGUUUUUUGUUGACAAAAACAUUUGUUUCCCCAUAUGCAUAUUUAGUUAAAAAUAUUAUUUUUAAUGAGUUUCAGCAAUUUGAUUAAUUCGGUUUGAUUAAACCGAAAUUAGGCUAUGAUUCGGAUUUGGUUUGAUGAAAUUUUGGUUCAGUGCACUUCGUUUUUUUUCCCCCUUAGAGACACUAUAAAUAGUUAGCGUUUUACAUAGUUCCCGCUAGUGAUACACCGUCGGCGAUUUUUACUAAACUAGAUGCUGUAUGAGUUGGAAAUAAUCAACCAUAGUUUCUCAUGUACUGAUAGACUUUAGCUCCGGUGGUAUAUAGGCACAGCUUGUCUUCGUUUGGAUUACGCUCUGUAAGUGUUCGGUGAAAUGCCUCAACGAAAUGGAAUGCUUCAAAGCUACGUUCUUUUUACCAGGAGACUAGCUUGCAAGUCAUAUAAAAUAGAUAAUUGCUGCACAUAUAAUGGUGAAACAACAGCGAACUAAGUGAGAUUUGAUUGAUUAAUAUUCUCAUCAUCUGAUUCAUUCAUAUAAGAUAUUGGAUUCUUCAGUGAAGACUGUGACAGUUCUCAUCUUUCGGUGGAUGCAGAGUAUAAAAAGAAAAUCUUUCACUGGUUCUUAUGGACUUAACGAGCUAAAAAGGGAAUGAAAAUGACAAUGUUGGUAUAUGGGGUUAAAGUCAAACGUUGCGUGGUUGAUUGGGUAAAAGGUUAGACUUCUUCGUGGCAAUCACUUUGUGUAUUAUUUAAUAAGGUUUAAGAAUAGUCUCACAAGUUCCUAGAAUUCAUUUUCUUGGGUUACUUGCUCUAAUUAACAUGUUUGCUUCUUAAACUAAUCUAAAGGAGAUUGUUAUUGGAGACACAUGAACAAACAUGGGGAUGAGGAGGUUUGCUUGUUUGCUCUUUCUUACCACGUUCUUAAGUUUUAGUUAUGCAGCUAUAACGCCAGAAAGUCCUUUAUCAAUAGGACAAACUCUCAGAUCCUCUAAUGAGAUUUAUGAACUGGCUUUCUUCAGUCCUAAUAACUCCCAAAAUCAGUAUGUUGGAAUCUGGUUCAAAGGUAUCAUUCCCCAGGUGGUUGUGUGGGUGGCCAAUAGAGAAAAUCGUGUUACAGACAAAUCUAAGUAUCAGCAGCAAUGGAAGUCUUCUCUUAUUGAAUGGCAAACAUGGCGUUGUCUGGUCCAGUGGAGAGACUUUCGCAUCUAACGGGUCUCGAGCAGAGCUUUCAGACACCGGGAAUCUUAUUGUCAUAGACAAUGUUUCAGGGAGAUUACUAUGGGAAAGCUUUGAGCAUCUUGGUGAUACUCUGCUCUUAUUCUCAACCCUGAUGUAUAAUCUAGCCACCGGUGAGAACCGUGUGUUGACUUCUUGGAAAACUAAUACUGAUCCAUCACCAGUUGACUUUGUGGUUGAGAUUACACUGCCACUGAGUGCCAUCACAGGCGUUUACUAUGAGAGGCUCAACGCCUUAUUGGAGAAGCGGUCCAUGGGCUAAAACAAGGUUCACAGGGAUACCACAAAUGGAUGAAACAUAUACAAGUCCAUUCAGUGUUCAGCAAGAUGCAAACGGGUCAGGAUCCUUCACUUAUUUACAUAGAAACUUCAAACUUCCACGUAUAGUGAUAACAUCUGAUGGGUCACUAAAGAUUGUUCGGCAUAAUGGGACCGGCUGGGAAUUGAACUUUGAGGCUCCAACGAACUCAUGUGAUUACUAUGGUGUAUGUGGACCUUUUGGGUUGUGUGUGAUGUCUGUUCCUCCAAAAUGUAAAUGCUUCAAAGGGUUUACACCAAAUACAUUGAGGAGUGGAAAAAAGGAAACUGGACUGGUGGUUGUGUGAGGCGUACCGAACUAGAUUGUCAGGAGAACUCUACUGGGAAAGAUGGAAACGUCUUCCAGCAAGUUGCCAACAUAAAGCCUCCAGACUUUUACGAAUUUUCAAGUUAUGAGAGUACUGAAGAAUGCUACCAAAGUUGCCUCCACAAUUGUUCCUGCUUGGCCUUUGCUUUUAUUCAUGGAAUAGGCUGCUUGAUGUGGAACGGGGAGCUAAUGGACUCUGUGCAAUUUUCUGCGGGAGGAGAACUUCUUUCCAUUCGUCUUGCACGUUCUGAACUAGGUAAGGCUUAAAAGAUAACACGAAAGAGCUACUUCGUCAUAUACAUCUUUAUCUAAAACUCCCUUAAUAGCAGCAUGUGUUAUUGUUAAGUUUGUUUUUGUCUUAUAUAUUUCAGUUGGUAAUAAGCGCAAGAAGACUAUUGUUGCAAGUAUUGUGAGCCUUUCUCUUUUUGUGUUAUUGGUUCUGCUGCAUUUGGUUUCUGGAGAUACAGAGUGAAACGCAACAGUACACACUUGACACUACUAUUUCUUUAUAGAUUUUUUGUUGUUUAUCUAUUUCAUUUGAUUGCUAACGAGUAACACAAUGAUGACCUUAAUAUCUGUCUGUUUUAGUUUCAGCUAUUAUAUCAAAGGAUGCUUGGAGGAAUGAUCUGAGACCACAAGAUGUCACAGGUUUAAAUUUCUUUGACAUGAAUACCAUUGAAACUGCCACCAAUAAUUUCAGUCUGUCAAAUAAACUCGGACAAGGUGGAUUUGGUUCAGUUUACAAGGUAAGGGGAUUUUUGUCCUCUUUUCUAUCCUCUGCUUAUUCUCUCUAGAUGACAUGCUGCAAUCUGUUUCAGGGAAAGCUGCAAGAUGGGAAAGAAAUUGCUGUAAAACGGCUUUCUAGCAGCUCAGGGCAGGGCAAAGAAGAGUUCAUGAAUGAAAUAGUACUCAUCUCAAAACUACAACACAGAAACUUAGUUCGGAUCUUGGGAUGUUGCAUUGAAGGAGAAGAGAGGCUACUUAUUUAUGAGUUCAUGGUGAACAAAAGCCUUAAUACUUUUCUCUUUGGUUGGUCCUUUCUUUCCUCUUUCCUUUUCUAUUACAGCUUCUUCUACGUAGAGCUCUUAAUCUGAUAAAUUUUUGGACUAUAUUAUUGGUUAGAUUCAAGAAGAGAGCUCGAGAUUAAUUGGCCAAAGAGAUUUGAUAUCAUUCAAGGUGUUGCGCGUGGACUUCUCUAUCUUCACCAUGACUCACGCCUUAGGGUCAUUCACCGAGACCUAAAGGUUAGCAAUAUUCUUUUGGACGAGGAGAUGAACCCGAAGAUAUCAGAUUUUGGAUUGGCUCGAAUGUUUCAAGGAACACAAUAUCAGGACAACACUCACAGGGUUUUUGGAACCCUGUAAGUACAUUUCUUCAAAAAUAGGCUUAGCAAGAUUCAUUAGUCAUAUCUUAGCUUGUGUAAAACUAUUCGAUUGUUUGCACAGAGGAUACAUGUCUCCUGAGUAUGCGUGGACUGGGCUGUUCUCUGAGAAGUCUGAUAUUUAUAGUUUUGGAGUUCUGAUGUUAGAAACCAUCAGUAGAGAGAAGAUCUCAAGGUUUAGUUAUGAUGAAGAGUGCAAAAGCCUUCUUGAAUAUGUAAGUAAGACUUCUUCAGGUUUCAAAACCUUUUCUUGCUCUUAUAUUCGGCUGAUAUUCUGAAAUUUCAACAGGCAUGGGAAUCUUGGUGUGAAACUAGAGGUGUUGAUUUUUCGGACCGAGAUAUUGCUGAUACAUGUAAUCCAUCUGAGGUUGGAAAAUGUGUUCAGAUUGGUCUGCUGUGUAUUCAACACCAACCUGUAGACAGACCCAACACACUUGAGUUGCUGUCCAUGCGCACCACGACAUCAGAUCUUCCAUCACCAAAACAACCCACUUUUGCAGUGCACACGAGAUAUGGCGAAUCCAAUUCUAAGGAAUUGUUGAUCACCGUCAAUGGGAUGACACAAUCUGUGAUCCUUGGACGUUAAGAAACAAUGUGUUUCUCUCUCUCUCUGUCUCUCUCUGUCUCUCUGUCUCUCUCUUUCUCUCUCUCUCUUUCUUGAAACUAGUUUUCUGAUUCUCAGCUUUCUAAGAAGAAACAAACUUAAAGUGUAUUGAGUUUGGUUAAACUUUUCCAAUCUUUGGGAUGUUAACUGAAUGCUGAUUCUAGAUUAAGUGUUUAGGUGAUUUAAACCAAAAUCAAAUUUCAGAGUGUUUGCUUCCAAAUAUUACGGGAGGAUUGUAGUGGAAUUUGUAUUUUUUUACUUUUCUAAGAAUUAAAAUAACGUAAGACGUUGUUUUUAAUCCCACAUCGGGAACAUAGUAAAACGUAGGUCAUGACACUUUGCUAUAAAAUAGAACGUGGCUAAGAUUUACUGUAGUAUCUGUUCUUAUCAGUGUAAUAUCUGAUAUGUGGGCCAUCGGCUCACUCGUUAUUAACUCAAUUUUUGAAGGGAGCAAGCCCAUUAAAAAUACUUUGCUAUCUGGGCUUUCUGAGUUGCCCAUGUGUUGCACUACUGCAUGGACCUGGCUCAUCCCAUCAUUCACUAGUCCAAAUUUUGGUUAAUAAUUGUCUUAAGAAGUCAUGGCUCAUCCCAUCAUUCACUAGUCCAAAUUUUGGUUAAUAAUUGUCUUAAGAAGUCAUUAAAUCGAGAUAAAUUUUUAAAUCACAAACACUACGUUAAAUAUACCUUUGUAGGUUUUGAUGGAACUAGGUAAUUAGCCCGCAUAAAACACAAGAGUUUCAUAAAAUAAUUACAUCAUUAAAUUAUUAACUUUGUUAAAAAAAAAAUCCCAAAAUAUAAGAACAAUGUUAGACAUUCGACCAUUACCAUUCACUCAUAUAUUUAUAAUUACAGAAUUUUUUUUCAAACUAUUUUUUUAUCUCUUCCUCAACAGAACUCUUUUUAUUUUUUCGUAAAUGUGUGUCAUUCUAAUCGGUUAUUUCACGCGUUUUCCUUCUUCUUCUUUAAUAUAUUUGGUUUAUGUUUUUUCUUCUACUUAAUCGUCUUUGACUUUGACUUAUUAUUUAUCAUUUUUUGUCAUUUUUAACAAUUAUUCUUUUUUUUUUAAAAUAUAUAAUUGUCUUCGUCUUCCAAUUUUUCUUUUGAUCGUUUUCGUCUUCUCUGGCUUAUUAUUCUUUUGUUUCUUCUUCAUCUUAUCUUCAACCUCAACUUCUUCCGCUUCGUCCUUUUCUUCUUAUUUUUUUAGUUUUGUUUAUCGUCUUCCUCAUAUUUUUCUUUUCUCUUUUUCAUCAUAUUCAUUUUAUUCUUCUUAUUCAUCACAUUUGUCAUCUUCAAUUCCUUCUACAUAUUUUUUUCAGUUUUUAUUCAUCAUCUCCAAAUCCUUACCUUUCUCUCCUUCUUCUUCUUUGAUGUCUUGGUCUAAUCUGCAUUUUUAUUCUUCUUACGGUUUUUUAUUUUUUUUGUCUUUGUCAUAUCUUUCUUGUCUUUUCUGACUGUUUUUAUCUUAUUUUUUUUCUUUUCGUUAUCUUAUCAUUCUUCUUUUCCAUCAUCUUUGUCUUCUCUGAAUUAUAUUUUUCUAUUCUCAAUCUUCCCGUUUUUUCUUCUCACUAUUCUUCAUCAUUUUCCUUCUUUAUUGUCUUUUUAUUUUUUCCUUCGUUGUUUACUUUGUCAUCUUAAAGUUAUUCUUCUUCUUUAUUAUCUUCUUCUUCCUUGGCUUCUUUUUUAUUCAGUUUUGUCUUCAUUUUCUUCUCCCGGAUUUCUUCUUCCUCUUCUUGUUCCCUCUCAUUUCUACAUUUUCUUUGUAUUUCUUAUUCUUCAGAUGUUUCUUUAUCACAUCAUUGUCUUCUUCCUCGCCAUAUAACCUUGUAUCUAAGUAUUCUAUUAUCGGUUAUCAUUAAUCUUUUUUGUUUCUCUCUCUAAUUAUAUAUAUAUAUAUAUAUCUCGUUCCCUCCUUCCCUCUUUCUUUCUAGAAUCUCCUAAUUAUGUUAUAGUGAUAGAACUUUCAACUAUUUUAAUUUAGAUUAAAGUGAUUUUAUAGAACGACUCGCCUAAAAGUUUAUUUUUUUAAAGCUAGUUAUUUCUAGAUAGAUAUAUGUUUGACUAUUCUAAUAAUGUAUCAAGAAACAUGACGAUUCUUAGAGAAUUCAUCAAAUAUGGGGUAGAAAUGUAUCACUCUUCAAAUCUGCUAAUUUAACAGAUGACUACAAAAGUCAUAUGCUCUCUCUCUUCAACAAUUUGGCCAUAUAUGAUAUCAACAAUUAUUCUUAAUCUCUUUAUCCAAACGUACAAUAAAAAAACAUUAAAAAUACAUGCUAUAUGUAGAUUCCACUUUGCUUCAUUCCUAAAUAUUGUCCUAAUAUCCGCAAAGGUGCAUGGAUCUCUAGCAUAAUCCAAUAGAAAUCUCAAAAGAUCAACCUCUCUCGGACAAGACUCCACAACACAUCGGGUGAUCCCAGAAGUCAAGAUCUUCAUAGUGUAGCAUACCCUCUUGAACAUAGAAUGAAGAACACCAUCAACAGUUUUAAUAUCCUAAAAGUAGCACAGACCUCUCCUCACAAGCAAUAGAAGGCGAAGAUAAUGAGUUCACCAGAAUUAAGUGGACAAUCCUCUAGUACACCCGAACUCCGAGAAACUGUGAGCCGGGUAUCCAUUCACAUUGAUUCGGAUCCCAUACCCAUCUAGAAGGGAUGUUGGAAUAUAACAAUGUCAUUGCCGCUGGAUUAAGUUGAUUGCAUUCCAUCCAAGAUAUCAAUUUGCUUUUGUUCUUCGAGUCAGACACGUUGACAUCAUCAUAGAUGGAAUUUUGUGGUAAAGAAAGAUGCACCGGCAAAUAAUCAGAACCCUAUAAUUAUGAAAGAACACAUAUUAAUGGAUUUCAAUUAUGAUUAAUAGCACGGAACAGAAUCAAAUAUAAAGUUAAAAGAAAACUAUACCUUUUGGCAUCAUAUUCAGUUGCAAAAACAAUGAGAAAGGAAGCAGAAACGUGUUUAGCCAAAUCAGGUUAGGGUUUUUGGUUUAGAAAACUAAAGACGUAAUGAGAACAGAAUAACAGAAGAAUAUUAUUGAUCAGUGAAAUAUUUAUUUUGACCAUGUUUUGUUCUAUACGUAUUUAUACUUAUAAAAUAAAAAGCAUAAACGAUAUUUGUAAGGAUAAUAACUUGUAGCAUGUAUAUAUCUAUUUAAAUAAUAUAUUGGAGAUUAAUUGUUAAUUAAAGAUGAGGUGAGUGAAUGGAAAAGUUUAGGGGUUUUUUCUUGGUACUCUUAAAUUUUCGAUUUUUGGGUGUUUUUUUUUAAUUAAAACAAUAAUUGAGAUGUAUAGAAAACUAUGGUUGUUUUUUUAUAAAAAAAGUAGAUUAAUAAAGUAAUAGUUUGUUUUUAAUUAAAACAAUGAUUGAGGUGUAUAGAAAAUAAUUUUCGUUUUUAAAAAAUAUAUUAAGAAAAUAAUAGAAAAUAAUGGUCCUUUUAAAAAAAAUAUAUAUAUUAAGAAACUAAUAAUUUUUUAAUUAAAAAAUGGUAGAUUUUAAAAAACUAUAGUCGAUUUUUUUAUUUAAAAAUAUAUUUAAUUUAAAGAUAAGAUUAUAUUUUACUAAGAUUAUUAAAUUUUAACUAAAUUUAAUUUGAACCGAGUAAAUAACUAAUAACUAAAUUUAAUUUGAACCAAGUUAAAGGCUAAUAUAGACUUUUUAUUGAGGGACAAGAUGAUAAUUAACCACCUCCAAAAUCAAUGAGAGAGCUAGAAAUCAAAAAUUUACUCGGCUUAUAAUAUAUAUGAUUAAAGUUUCAAAGAUGCCCUCUCUCUAACCAGGAGAGAAGAAGACUACUUUGAAUAGAAAAGGGUAUAUGUAGAUCAUUAUAUUUUUCUCAUAGCUCCAAGUCUCUUAAUUCAAGAAAUUUCUUUACCGUACAUUUAAAGUGUGUUACACCAAGGUCGAUUACUAUCUAUAACAGUCUCUUAUAUUCUAAGAAUUGCACUUUGUGUAAUCUCUUUAAAAUCUAUAUGGCCCCUAUGUCAUAUUUUGCUGUAACCAAUCAUCCUCAAUAAAAAGUUCUUCGUUUAAAAAAAAAAUUUGUGCUCUAAGGGUGAAACGAAGAUUUUAGAAACCACUAAGAAAGAUCUGAUUGAUUAAUAUUCUCAUCAUCUGACUUAUUCAUAUAGUCAUCUUUUCAGUUGAUGGAGAAUGUUGAUGCUUAUGUUUCAAUGUGAACAUGAAAAAACACGAUAUUUCAAUUUGAGAUCAAUUAGUCAAAACACUUGACGGGGUCAAAUGUUGGAUUCGUUAUGUUAAGCUAUGAAAAUGACAAUGUUGCGUUAUUGAUUGGGUAAAAAGUUGGACUUCUUCGUGGAAAAUUCGUAUGUAUUUUGUAUUAUUAAAUAAAGGUUUAAGUUGAUUUUGUAUAAAGUAAUGCAUAAUCUUGGAACGUAACUUGCGUUGUGGUCAUUGUCCAUAGAUGGUUGAAUGUAGUUCUCACAAGUCACAAGUCCCUCGCUUUUUUUUUUUGUUUUUCUUUCUUUCUUGGCUUUCUUGCUCCUGAUAUUUGUUCGCUUCUUAGACUAAUCUGAAGAAGGUAGUUUUUUUUUGGGUUUAUAAGAAGAUAGUUAUUGGAGAGACAAAAGCACAUGGGGAAGAAGAGGGUCGUGUUCUUUAAUUCUUUGCUCUUUUUUACCAUCUUUUCAAGUUGUAGCUUUGCAGGGAUAACCACAGAGAGUCCUUUGUCAAUAGGACAAACUCUUAGCUCUCCUAAUGGAGUUUAUGAACUGGGUUUCUUCAGUCCAAAUAACUCCCAGAAUCAUCAGUAUGUUGGAAUUUGGUUCAAAGGUAUCAUUCCUCGGGUGGUUUUGUGGGUGGCCAAUAGAGAAAAACCUGUUACAGACUCCACGGCAAAUCUAACAAUCAGUAGCAAUGGAAGUCUUCUCUUAUUAGAUGGAAGACAUGGUGUUGUGUGGUCCACCAAAGAAGUUUUUGCAUCUAACGGGUCUCGUGCAGAGCUUUUAGACACCGGAGAUCUUGUUGUCAUAGACAAUGUUUCAAGAAGAACUAUAUGGGAAAGCUUUGCACAUCUUGGUGAUACUCUGCUUCCUUUCUCGCCCAUCAUGCAUGAUCUCGCCACCGGUGAGAAACGGGUGUUGACUUCUUGGAAAAGUGAUACUGAUCCAUCACCUGGUGACUAUGUAACUCUGUUUUCAUCGCAAGUGCCAUCACAGGGGUUUACUAUGAGAGGCUCAACGCCUUAUUAUAGAUCUGGUCCAUGGGCUAAAACAAGGUUCACAGGGAUACCGCUAUUUGAUGAAACUUUAGCAAGUCCGUUUAGCUUUCAGCAAGAUGCAAACGGGUCAUGGUCUUUCUCUUAUCUAGAAAGAGACUCCAAACUUUCACGUUUAGUUUUAACAUCAGAGGGUUUGCUGAAGAUUUUUCAUCUUAGUGAGACCGGCUGGGAAGUAAGCCUUGAGGCUCCAACAAAUCCAUGUGAUGUUUACGGUGUAUGUGGAGCUUUUGGGAUGUGUGUUGUGUCAGAUCCUCCGAAGUGUAGUUGCUUCAAAGGAUUUGUACCUAAAUACAUUGAGGAGUGGAAAAGAGGAAACUGGACCGGUGGUUGUGUGAGGCGCACAGAACUAGAUUGUCAAGGAAACUCUACAAGCAAAGUUGCAAAUGUCUUUCAUCCUAUUGCCAACAUAAAGCCUCCAGACUUUUACGAGUUUGUAAGUUCUGUGGAUUCUGAAGGCUGCUAUCAAAGUUGCCUCCUCAAUUGUUCUUGCUUGGCCUUUGCUUUUAUUCGUGGAAUUGGGUGCUUAAUAUGGAAACAAGAGCUAAUGGACGUAAUGCAGUUUUCUCCUGGAGGAGAGACUGUUUCCAUUCGUCUUGCACGUUCUGAACUAGGUAACACGAAAUAGUUCUCCUUUGAUAUUGUUCUUUACGUUAGUAUCAUUGCUUAUUGUUUAAUUUUUUUUUUUUUUGUCUUAUACAUCUUAGAUGGAAAUAAUCACAGGACGAAAGUUGUUGCUAGUGUUGUGAGCAUUUCCCUUUUUGUGAUAUUGGGUUCUGCUGCAUUUGGUUUAUGGAGAUACAGAGUGAAACAUAAUGGUAACUAUCUCUCUAUCGAUCUCUUGUUACUUAUCUAUUCAUAUGCUUGCUAACGGUAACACACUGAUGACUUUACUAUCUAUUCAACUCUAAAUUCAGCUAUUGUAGCAAAGAAAGCCUCACAAGAAGAGUGGAGGAAUGGUCUAAAACCACAAGAUGUCUCAGGUUUAAAUUUCUUUGAGAUGAAUACCAUUGAAACUGCCACCAAUAGUUUUAGUCUGUCAAAUAAACUCGGACAAGGUGGAUUUGGUUCAGUUUACAAGGUAAGAGAACUUUAUUUUCUUUACUCUUUUGUGUUCUCUGUUUAUGCUCUUGAGAUGACCUUCACCAUUGUGUUCAGGGAAAGCUGCAAGAUGGGAAAGAAAUUGCAGUAAAACGGCUUUCUAGCAGCUCAGGGCAAGGCAAAGAGGAGUUCAUGAAUGAAGUAGUACUCAUCUCAAAACUACAACACAAAAACUUAGUUCGAAUUUUGGGAUGUUGCAUUGAAGGAGAAGAGAGGCUACUGAUUUAUGAGUUCAUGUUGAACAAAAGCCUUGAUACUUUUCUCUUUGGUGAGUCCCUUCUUGCCUCAAAUCGUUUCCUAUUAUCAGUUUUUUCUCUCUCUGUGUAGAACAGUUUAUCUGAUAGUUUUUACACUGUAAUAUUGCUUAGAUUCAAGAAAAAGGCUUGAGAUUGACUGGCCUAAGAGAUUCAUUAUCAUCCAAGGUAUUGCACGUGGACUUCUCUAUCUCCACCGUGACUCACGCCUCAGGGUCAUUCACCGAGAUCUUAAGGUUAGCAAUAUUCUCCUAGAUGAGAAGAUGAACCCAAAAAUAUCAGAUUUUGGAUUGGCUAGGACGUAUCAGGGAACUGGAUAUCUAGACAACACUCGUAGGGUAGCAGGAACUCUGUAAGAAUCUGUUUUCUUGUUUUAAGAAUCUGUUUUGAAAAACAAGAGUCAUAGCCAUAUUCAUAUGUUAAAUUAGGUUGAAUAUUUUUUGAUAUAUGUGCAGAGGAUAUAUGUCUCCCGAGUAUGCAUGGACUGGGAUGUUCUCUGAGAAAUCUGACAUCUACAGCUUUGGAGUUCUGCUGUUAGAAAUCAUCAGCGGAGAGAAGAUAUCAAGAUUCAGCUAUGGUGAAGAAGGAAAAACUCUUCUUGCAUAUGUAAGACAGACUUUUAAGUUCUCAUAUACUUGCAAAAUUUCAUGCUCUUACAUUUUUUGAGAUAUGGAAACUUAACAACAGGCAUGGGAAUCUUGGUGUGAAAAUGGAGGAACUGAUUUGCUAGACCAAGAUGUUUCUGAUUCAAGUCAUCCAUCUGAGGUUGGAAGGUGUGUUCAGAUUGGUCUUCUUUGUGUUCAACACCAACCUAGUGACAGACCCAACACACUUGAGUUGCUGUCUAUUCUCACCACAACAUCAGAUCUUCCAUCACCAAAAAAACCCACUUUUGUAUUGCACUCGAGAGAAGAAGAAUCCUUGUCUAAGGGUUUGAGCACUGUCAAUGAGAUAACACAGUCUUUGAUCCUUGCGCGUUAAGAAAAAGUGUGUGAAUGGAAGUUGUUCAAUCCUAAAUUGUUCUCCAUUUUCCAAUGUUGAUAACUUCAACAUUAUCUCAUUAAUGUUUUUAUUUUCUAUACAACCUUUGAUGAUUGAUCAAAAGGUAAGCACGUGGUAUUGGAACAACUAAAACUUGUUUUCUUCUUCUUAAUUAAUUCUCACUAACAAAAAAACUUUUCAAUAAAUCUGCAAUUGUUUUUUUUUUUUUUUUUACUGUGAGACGAUGUGUAUUUCUCAAUUCAAUACAACUUGUCAAGAAAUCCAUUUAAUUCAACAUAUCUUGUCAAUGCCAACAUAUUUUAGCUUCGUGGUGUAUUUUUAGACAACUCCUCGAUAAGUCAAUAAGCAACAAGCCAAAAUACAUAGAAACAUAAUAAGCUAAGCCACCAGAAACUUAAAAUCCUAAUUAAGUUUCGAAACGAAAAGAGGCAUUGCAUCUCUAAAUCUAUAUAUCUUAGUUUGGUUCAGUGAUCACAGAGAUCACCUCAUUCAACAGGGCAUUCUUUUCAUAGACACAUGCACGCUUAUUGCGCUCCAACAUCUCUUCACUCUUCUUCAAUUCGACUUCUUUGACAUGCAACAACUUCAACUUAUCUUGGAUUUUCUUCUUAGUUUCGUUUGGCACCACGUUCCAUCUUUGUCUUUGCUCAACAGAAUCAAAACCAAGAAUCUCAAUCGAUUGAGCAAGAUAGGACUCUUGAAACCAUCCUUAGCCAUCGUCUUCACCAUUUUUGAUGCUCUCACUCUUCUUUAACUUAUCAUCAUCAGGAGAUUUAAAAGCCAUCUCCUCAGCUCCCCCAAUAGCCUUGGACAAUCUGAAAUGAUCCUCAUCAUCAUUGUUAUCGCUCGAAAAAGGUGCUUCUCCACUUUCUUUAUAUAUUUCUUCCAUAAAUGCUUAAUCUUUUCCAUGAGCUGGUUCAAGUUAGUCUCGAAGCUAACAAGAUCUUGGAUGAUUUGUAAAACCCUUGCCUAUCUUCAAAAGGAUCCUUCCCUGUUUCGAGAAAAAAAAAGUUUCAAUCAAGAAAAAAAAGCACUUCAGUUAAAGAACUUGCUGUUUAUUGAUGAAUAUAUAUAUCAGGGAUAAAUAUGACUGGAUAUAAAUACAGUAUGGGGAAUGACUAGGGUAAUAUUUUUCAUAAUUGCUGGAAAUAUCACUGACGUAAAAUGGUGGAUAAGUAUUACUCUAUUCAACCUCCACACCCUCUUUUACAUUAAUAAUGUCUGAAACUGGAAAAGAAAAAAAGUAUGCACUCUUAAUUUCAACAGAAUAAACUUUUAAUCAUUUCACAAUGUUAUUAAGAAAUAAUUAUCAAUAUAGACAAUUUUGGAGAUAUUAAUAUCUAUUAUAGAUAUUAAAAUGUUUUGAUAUGUACAUUCUUGAUAUUUUUAUCUUUUAUUUAACCUGAUCUAAUUUCAUUAUUUUUUACUUUUUCUCUUUUUUUUUCAAACCUUUUCUUCUUCUCCACUUCUUUCAUCAUCUCAACCAUUAUUCUCAUAUUUAAAAAUAAAAACAAAAAAUCAUCAUAUUGCUUAAUCAAAUAACAGUAAUUUUUAAAAGUCUUUGACAAAAUUUUCAAAAAAAAAAACAUAUAUAUCCAUAUAGUUACGUACAUAUAUAUCAUAUGCACAUAAAUAUGCAUAUGUAUCCAUAUAGUUACGUAAUGUAUCUAUAUAUACAUCUACGUAAACCUAUAUACAUGUAAUUAUAUAUAAAUACACAUAAUUAUAUAAAUACACAUACGUAUCUAUAUUUACGUAAUUAUAUAAAUAUAUAUAAAAAUAUAUAUGUGUAUCUAUAUGGAUAGAUCCACAUAUAUGAUAUCUAUGUAGAUCUCUAAAUAUCAUAUCUAUAUAGAUCUCUAUACGUACUCAUAUAAUUGUAUCCACGUCUAAACAACUAUAUAGAUACACAUGUAUUUAUCUUUAUAUUGAUUUCUUACCACUCAAAUCAUUACUUGAAAUUUCUUCUAACUAAGUUUCUGGAUUUUCUGUUUUCGCUCAAGAAAGUUACACUGACUAAAAAUAUGCAUUUCAGGAUGGCUCUAGUUAUGUCAAAUCUCGUUCAUACAGAGCCGACCUUGAGUUGCAUAUUUUUUUGCAUGGACUGCAAGUUAGAAAGAAAAAAUAGCCUGUUUUGCAUAAUUAUUCCAAAAAAAUGGGCCGUUUUGUUUUAGAAAAUUUUUGCAUAAAAUAAGGGCUGCAUACCGAGCAGUUUAAUGAACUCAUUUAAGAAAAAAUAACAUAAUAAGAUCUAGAAUUUGGUGAUUCUAAGAACCGGUGAAACAAAUCGGAAACCAAUCCAGACCGUUUAGAAUCUGCAAUAAUAGGCUAACUCGGCCAAAUCGCUCCUAUAGAUCUCGUAAGAUGAUAUCUUCUUACUUAUGGCAUUAAGAAGGAGGUUGAUAGAAAGAAUUAAAAACAUAAAUUAUAUAUGUAAUAUUAAUAUGAUAGAUCAGUUGAUAUAUACACUCAUUUAUUUUGAUAGAUGCUAGAUUACAUUUCAUAGAAAAAACCAUAAUAUGAAAUGCUGAUAAAUUUACUAAAGAAAGGCUAUAUACACCGAUAAAUGAAGAAUGCCUAAUGGUGUAAGAGAAGACAACGAGAUUUAAUUACCUUAACAUGAAGCAUGAGGGGAUAUCCGGUUGUCUCGUGUUAAAAGUCAACUUCACGAGAUCUGAUAAGUAGAUGCCUUAUUACUUUAUUCAUUCAAGUAAAAAGUCAGUUAGACUUAAAAAUCAAAUCAAAAUCGGUACAAAUAUAUGUUAUCACGUUUUUUUCAUGAUAACUAAGAGUUUUCACUCUUUAAAGAGGUUACCAAUACCUCUGUCCUUGUAGUACAAGGGGUUAUCAAACCAAACUUGUGAUGGAGACACUAAUCUAUGUUACUUGUGAUCUUAAGUCAAGAUGAAAGGGUAAAGAUUUUAACUAAACUAUUCAACAAGUAAAUAAGCAUAAAAGUGAAGCAAAGACAAGAUUUAAACUAAGUGAAGAUGCAAAUGACAAGCAAAUGAUUCGGAUGAUGAUAAUAUAUAAUAAAGGCAGAAGCUUUAGACAGGAUACUUGACUCAGGUGCUUUCAAGCUAAACUAAUGGGUUGAUGAAUCAGAUUUAUCAAGCGGUUUCAUUUAACUUGAACUCAAAGCAUGUUAAUCUUCUCAUGAAAGUAUUAAAUAUCUAAACUGAUCCUCUUUCAUACCAAAAUCCCUUUUAAGAAACAUGAAUCAGUCAGCAAUAAGAUUCAGUUCAAUAUGUCAUUUAAGAGAACAAACUAUCACUCUCGCGAUGAAAGACUCUUAAACCUUUAACCGAGUGGUUCAGACAUUUCUACAAACACUUUUGAUGCGAGAUAUGUCUCAGAUCGGAACCUCAAGUGAUGUGCUUGGAUCCAGCCUAGAGAUCUCGUCGGUUAAAGAAUGAAACAUGCAAGACUAGACACCUAAACCCACUAAUCUAUCUUGAAAGCACCCUAAUCUACCUAUCUAAAGCCGCUUAAACGACUACUCACUGAUCAUAACGAGCUCACUAAGUCCUUUGCAAGACGUGUAGCUAGUCAUGAUUAGGAGUUUAAUACUGGAUGAUAAAAGAAAAUAAAGAAAGAACAAGAUUCAGAUGCAAAAACGAGAUAUCGGAUUAGAUUAAUCAAGUUUCACAAAAGAGGCAAGUUCUUAAGGCUAAAAGAUGAUAAGAGAUAAGAUGAUUAGGUUUUUGGUCCUAAAAUGUAUUUAUAGCAAAGAGAAAGUGUCGCGGGUCAGCCCGGAACAAAUUGGGUACGGAGCCGCCUUCUCGGGUUGAUGGGUGAGUGCCACGGUGUGUCGGAGAGUGAAGCCGAGGCCUUGAUGUCGAGGAGUGCACGUGAGCAAAGAUCGAAAUGGAGAUCUCGUGAAGAACACGUCAAGAAUAUGCAUGGACCCUAGUCUUUGAUCCGUCUUCACGUGUGUGUUCUUGAGCCGUCUUGUUCCUGAUUCUGGAGUUGUGACAAGAGACCUCGCCAUAAAAUGUCGCGGGGCUUGGUAGUCGAGGGCUUCGGGAGAACAGAGUCCGGCAUGCACGCCGAGGCCAUUACACCGAGGUGCACGUUCAACACUUAGUCGUUUCCAGCUUCAUUUCUUACGUGUGCAUGCCUUGAUCUCAUCAUGCCGAGGUGUCAGCACAAGGUCUUGUCCAAAAUAUUCUCAAGAUAUGAGCCUUGACUUGAGCAAUGUCGAGGUAAUGAUGCCGAGGCCUGAGAAAACACUUAGCGCGUAUUGCAACUCAUUUAGGCUUGUAUCGACCGACUUGCCUUCCGGAAGCAGUAACUUUCAACACACGACUCCAAUUGCUUUGAGACCAGUUCCAUAGUCUAGAUGACUCAAUAAGCUCGAACUUUGGUGAAGAAACCGUCGGAGCUUGGGGAGUGGAAGGCUUCUUGGAUUUCGCAUCUUUGCACCGCAUCAGAAUCACCGGAAAAUAAUCUUUUGGACAGAUGUGAACUCCGGAGACCGUAUCUUUCGACUACUCAGAAUUGAGUGAUUCUAAGCGUUACGAAAAGUUCAUUCACAGAUCUCAAACUUUGAUGAAGACCGGGAAGGCUGGUUCGGACCGGAAGGGCUCCGUCCCUCGUAAUCUUUAAAGUCCGCUGUUCGGUUCUCGGGUGCGCGUAAUACUGGUGCAUCCUCCGGAGACCAUAUCUUUCUCCUCACUGGUCCGAAUUGGAUGAUUCCAACUGUUCUGGGAUCUUUGCUUGAUUAUCUACAAUUUUGAUGAAGACCCCGCCAACUGACUCGGACCGGAAGGUUCCCCGGAUUGCUGAUCUUUGAAACGCGCGGGUAAGGAUGAGUUUUAACCGAGAAAAGCUUCCCGCGGUAAGGAAAAUGGUCGAGGGCUGUAUACCGCGGUAAGUUUUUAGCCGUAAAAUCCUUCUCGACUCGGUCUAAAAUUUCACCCGCGGGAAUUUUCACCCGAUACUCGAUUUUAACCGAUUUUGGCAGUUCGGUAAGGGUUUUGACCGAGGUUCCAGUCCAGCCGGUACGAUUUUUGGCCGAGAAAUUCCUCCAAGCGGUUUUCACCAUUUUUAACCCUUUUCUUCACCGUUUUCUUUCCUGCUCCUCUUCUUGAGCUCCAAAUGGCCUCCAAAGCACCUGAUAAAGACUUCAAAACAUGCAAAACUCUUUGGGACCUAAUGCAAGCCCUAAAUCCUAUUUUGAUGCAAAAUAUAGACAUAUCAACUCCCCCACACUUGUCCUUUGCUUGUCCUCAAAGCGAAAAGAACAAAUGAGAGAAAGAGGUUGUAGUGGAAAUGGAGCUCAUAUUUCCUUUUUAGAGAGAAGUGAUCACAAUGAGAACUCGGAUUCAUGCUCAAAUAUGCCAUGCAAAGCUAUACUCAGAUAUUUACCAACUAAAGCACGGAAUCUCCACAAGUUCUUAUCAAAUUCAACUCUUUCACAUUCAUUACGUUCGUAACCGGUGAAUCAAAUGAUGCAAUGUUCAAACAGGCUGGUUUGACUAGGGUAAGGUCAUGAGAUAAAAAUGAUCUCAUCAAUAUUCAAGCGGGUGCAAUGCAACAAAGGGAUCUCUCUAUGAACGACCAAACUUUGGCAGAAUGCUAAAGGUAAAAAGCAACCUAUGCAUACAAGGGCAAAACUCAUCACACCCCACACUCCACUCAAAGUUUUCUCACUUGCUCACCCUCUCAAGAUCCUCACUCUUCACAAUCGAUUUCUUUUCACUAGGGGACUCACUUCUCGAUUUCAUUCUCGGGUCUUGGAGUUCACUUAUCCACACAGCUCUUUCUUUCACAACUUCUAGCCUCUUUUCUUUUUCUUUUUAGAACACUUGAGCUUUUUGGCUUCUUUUCUUUUUAUUUCAUUCAGAGGCUAACUUUUCUUUUAAAAACAUCAGAGCUCACUUCCUCGAAUUCACAACUCCAAGACUCAUUUCUUUUUCUUUUAUUCCCCUAGCUAUUUCCACUCUCUCUCUUCCACUCAUCUCACCUUUUUCCACUCACCAACAAAUCGUCUCCCCCACACUCAUUUCUCGCCAGUACUCUCAGUUCCUUGAUGUUGGAACAUAGCACUCAAUGAGACAUGCCCUUGUCGCUCUAAACCUAACACUUUCUGCUAAGCUUGGUCCAAGGUGGCCUUUCAAUUCACACACAAACAUUGGCUCGAAAGAAAGAUGGGUUCAAGGCGAGAGAACUGAUCCAUGAUGCGGUCUCAGCUACUUGAGCUAAGGAAGAAGGGUGGUAAAAGCAACGAUUCUAGCUCAAGUAUGUAUAUCGGUAUCCACAAGCCUAUUCAAGCAAUGCAUCAAAAGAUAUUUUCAAUUCAAGUUCAGGGUUAUCACUUAGUUAGAGUCGAGUUCAAUUCAAACUUGCUUCUCAGAUUCAAAUCGUUUCAAGCUUUACAAGCACAGAAUGAGUUUCACAAGCAUUUUUAGUUCAAGUUCUCAAGUGAUUUACUCUCUAGGAAAAAACCUAUCAUUGCUCCUUGCACUGAUGCAAUCCUACAUGAUGCACUAGACUCGAUCUUAAAAUGCGAGAUGCAACUAGAAUGAUGCAUUUUUGUGAAAAUUUUCAGGUUUAUCAUAUGCAAUGAGCUAGAUGAGACUCAAGAAUGUAAAAGUCAAAUAAGAACAAAGAAAACAAGAUUAGAAAACACAAAGCUCCUCCCCCACACUUAAAUAACACAGUCCCUUGUGUUAUAAAAGCGUGUGAGAGAAGUAAAAAGACAAACUAAACAAAUGCAAGAUGGUAUAUACAAGAUGCAUAUUUACAAUGGUUUGAAGUCGAUACCUCAGUCUGAGAGGUCUGAUCCCAAGUAGUACGAGGGAUUUGAUGUUGAGCAGGAGGGUGUGGACUGACGUGGUGGGCUGCUCUCCGAGGGUUCAGGUAAGAAAGCCGUGGCAGGAUCGAUCCAGUCCUCUUUGCCUGGUGGAAACUCCGGGUUCCUCGCGUUUGAGCUUUCCCCAACCUCUUCUUGUGUAACCGGUGCGGUUGAGGUCGCCGAGUUCUUGUCCGGUGAGGAUGGCCUGGUGAGUUGCCUGACCUUCUUUUUCAAGUGCCUUACAUAGUCCACCAACGCGUGAAUGGUCUUGUCUUGCCACUUAUACCACUUUUGGAGGGUGUUCACUCUCGAAUACAGCUUCUUGGUGUGGUAUUCAGGCUCACCCCACACAUAUGGAUCAAAAUGAUAUCGGCCCGCUCCUAUCCUUCUCUCAGAGUAUCUCUGUUCUUCGUUCUCACAUCCGGCGUGCCAUUCUCGUUCUGAGGUUUGCUAGAUGCGGCUUUGGUGUACUUGCGCAUUGGUGGGUCGAGAGAUGGGUUGUACAACUGAUCUUUGAGGACAUAGAAGGAGACGUUACACUGUUUAUCAAGCAUGGUGAGGCCUCGGUUAGGCAGUCAAACCUGUGUCCCAUCUCUGUGCAUCAGCGUAAAGUUGUAAACCCAUUUGUCCCCUGACUUGCCUCCGAAGAAACCACUUUUACUUAGGUAUUGCUCAUCAAUGAGAUUCGGCUUCGACGGUGAAUCAGAGAAUAUAAACCCUUGAGCUCUCAAAAUCUUAGUGAAAAUCCAACCGUUCUGAAGCCUCCUUGACCCUUUCUUCUUUCGGUCGCACCAUACAUUGUGGCGGUAAGUAAGCAUUUGAAUCGCAAAGAACGCGCCUAAAGAGGGUACAUGCAUUGGUCCUUGGAACUCCUUAUUCUUCAUUUGAGUGAUGAGCGGCUUCAGUCCAAGUCCUAAUAGUUCAAGCUCGGCCGUAUGAAUAACACCAGGGUUAUAGGUCGAGAAGAAUGUAGAGGCUAGGACUCGGUUUGUAUAUCUGAUCGCAGGGUUUCUGAUGCAACUUGUCUUGCUCUUGCCUCCUAAGUAAGGUCCGAAGGCAAUUGUUUCCCACAGGGCAGCCAACUCUUCUUUUGGGUACACAAACUUGUCAAGCGAGCUUCCGUUCCUCUCAAAACCAAAUAUCUCAUCAAGCUCCUUGAAACUGACCUUGUAGUGCACGCCUUCCAUGUCAAACUCUAUGUGCCCGAACCCUUUGCCAUGUAAGCGUUUGGGAUCUCUCUUGGGGUUGAUGAAAACCUCCAGAGUGGCAAGAAACUGUUGUGUGAUCCCCUCAGAAGCAACAUCGCUCAUCUCAAAGAACUCGGCCAAGCCCAUGUUUUGAAAGAUGAGGGUAACAUCAUCAAGUAUCUCAAGCUUUCUCAACAACUCCAUAUCCGGGAACCGACCUUGAGCCACUCUUAUAGAGUUAAAAUGGUCCAAAUACUCCUCAGUUGUCGGGAAGUGCUCUUCCUCGGGCUUGGCCUUCGGUUCCUUCUUUGGCCGCUUGCCACAAUUGGCUUCAUGAGGGACCAGGGCUCUGAGAUCGUCUUCAUCGGACCCAAUGGCUGCCUGCUUCCCAUUCCUUCUUGAUUCAAGAGCCUGUGCCGGAGUGAGCUCGGCGUUCCUUGCUCGUUUAGCGGCUGGUUCGCCAUCGGGUCUUGUUGAGGGUUUCUUGCUUGUUCCACCAUUACGUGCCAAGGCAACGGCUUUUCCUUUCGUACCCCUCCUCUGGACCUCGCUUUUGUUCGUCUCAGGAGCAGGAACGGUUCGUUCGCCGGUCAUCUGCAAGGGAGAUUCUCAAGGAAACCGUUAGAAUCAAGUGUAUCGCUAAGCACAUGUAUCUCAAGAUGGCAAGAACAGAGCUUUUUCUUUAACAAGACCGGUUUUAUAGCUUCUUAACCAGACCGGUAUGGGCUGGAGUGCGCUUUCCAGCUGGCAUUUAGACUGUUGUGGGACUGGUACCCCCCUCUGCUCCAACUCCAGCCGUUGACCGCGCCAAAAACCUUCUUGACCGGGCGUUUGAAUUCAAAAUGCCGCGCAAAGCCUUCAAAUGGACGCGGUAUGGGAAUGACGUGGGCCGUACGGUCUAGACCGAUUUUUCUCGUGUUAACAUGAGCGGCCUCGACUUGUUCCACCAUGAGGGUACCAAGCCGAGUGGUUUGAGCUCAUGUUAACAAGUAAAUUUCUGUGGCCUUCAAGUCUUUUCCUUAGACCGCGCAAAGCCUCUUCUUCGAUCUAAGUGUUCCAAGUGUUCUUGUUUUUGAUCGUUUUUGAAACCGGGCACCUCGGCACGCUCCACCACGAGGGUAUCAUGCCGAGGUCACUUGUUUUAACAAAGAACAUUUGGUGCUUGGGGGUUUAAACGGGCUGGCCUUGUUGUAAACUGGUCGCGGCCUCGGAUCAAAGUUUUUAACCGUUUAAAGUAGACAUGGUUCCUCGGAUUGCUUAUACCGAGGUGUUUACACCGUGAGCCUCCCCCAUACUUAGUCAUUUCACCACUUCACUUCAUAUACACGGCCAUGAUGAAAAUAAGUCGAGGAGUUUAGCUGAGGUUCUCAAGCUUUCACUCGGUAAAAGGUGACCGCGGUAUGAAUAUACCGAGGGUCGAUACCGAGGCUAUGAAUACUCUCUGACUUAAAUUAUCAGGCUGUGUCUUUUUCAAGCUUUUCUCUCUUUCAGCCUCAAGGCUCACUGUAUAACUCCUGAAACACUUAACAAACCCUUCAAAAAGCUUCAAAUAAAAGGAAAAAGAAGAUGAAAAACGAAAUAUGUACAAGGAUAAGCUUGGGGUGUCUCCCAAGAGCACUUUGUUUAACGUCUCUAAGUUUGACUCUUCAUACCUUCUCAGGCUGUUUCCGGUUCAAGAAGAGGAACUGAGGUAGCUCCCUCUCUUGUUUCUGAUGCCAAGUAAUGUUUUACCCUCUGACCGUUUACCACAAAACCUUGUCCAUCUUUUCCUUUUAGAACGACGGCUCCAUAGGGUCUUACUUCAAGAAUUGUGAACGGUCCGGACCACCUAGACCUUAGCUUCCCAGGGAAUAGCUUAAGCCUCGAGCUAAACAACAGAACUUGGUCCCCUUCUUUGAACUCUCUCUUGUGUAUCUUCUUGUCAUGGAGCGCCUUGGUUCUUUCCUUGUAGAUUUUAGAGCUCUCAAAAGCGUCUAAACGGAUCUCCUCAAGCUCGUGAAGCUGUAACACUCUCUUCUCUUGUGCGGUCUUGAUAUCAAAGUUCAGAAGUUUCACUGCCCAAAGAGCUUUGUACUCCAACUCAACCGGUAGAUGGCAGCUUUUCCCAUAGAGCAAGUUAAACGGUGAGGUUCCAAUGGGGGUCUUGUAUGCGGUUCUGUAAGCCCACAAAGCAUCAUCAAGUUUCUUGCUCCAAUCCUUCCUAGAUGAGCUUACGGUUCUUUCCAAAAUGGCCUUUAUCUGUCGGUUUGAGACCUCCACUUGGCCGCUGGUCUGCGGAUGGUAAGGGCUGGCUACCUGGUGCUUUACUCCAUGCUUCUUCAAAAGACUUUCAAGAGUCUUGUUGAUGAAAUGGCUUCCCCCAUCACUGAUGACUACUCUUGGGACUCCAAACCGUGGGAAAAUAAUGCUCCUGAAGAGUUUUACCACCACUUUUGAAUCGUUGGUUGGAGAUGCAACCGCUUCAACCCAUUUACUCACAUAGUCCACCGCGACAAGGAUAUACUGAUUCCCAUAUGAACUUACAAAGGGGCCCAUGAAGUCAAUGCCCCAACAGUCGAAGACCUCUACUUCAAAGAUUGGAUUUUGAGGCAUUUCAUUCCUCUUGGAUAUGUUACCGUGCCUUUGACAAGCUUCACACCUCGAGACUACAUCUUGAGCGUCCUUGAACAUAGUCAGCCACCAGAAACCGCUUUGUAAAACCUUGGCAACCGUCUUGAAUGCACCUAAGUGACCACCAUACGAUGAACCAUGGCAUUCUUGUAGCACCGGAUGGAUCUCUUCUUCGGCCAAGCAUCGCCUAUAGAGAUGGUCCUUGUUAAGCACGUAAAGAUACGGCUCAUCCCAAUGAUAUCUCAUCACAUCUCUAAAGAACUUCUUCCUCUGAUAAGUAUCAAGAUCUGGUGGCUCUAAACCGCAAGACAAGUAGUUCACUAGAUCUGCGAACCAUGGGAGGCUUCUUUCCUUGAUCGUGUUGGCCUCCUCCUCUUCUAAGUAAGACCUGACUAGCAUGAGGGUUUCCUCUGGUAAAGCAUCAUCUAUGGGGACCUGUUCUUCAAUCCUCAGCCUAGAGAGGUGAUCUGCGGCUCCGUUCUCAAUGCCCUUCUUAUCAAGUAUCUCCAUGUCAAAUUCUUGGAGCAACAAAACCCAUCUUAAAAGCCUCGGCUUAGCGUCCUUCUUAGACAUCAGAUACCUCAAGGCCGCGUGAUCUGUGUAGACCGUGACCUUUGAUCCCACAAGAUAACUCCUAAAUUUAUCAAAUGCAAACACAAUGGCAAGCAUUUCCUUCUCGGUGGUGGCAUACUUUUCUUGAGACGAGUCCAAGGUGCGGCUUGCGUAAUAGAUCACAUGGAGCUUCUUAUCUUUCUUCUGCCCCAAGACAGCUCCCACAGCAUAAUCAGAUGCAUCAGUCAUCACUUCGAAUGGUAAAGACCAAUCAGGGGCUUGUACAAUCAGUGCACUGAUCAAAGCCUCCUUGAUCUUCUUAAACGCUUCCUCACAUUCUUCAUCAAAGACAAACUCCACUUCUUUGCACAAUAGCCUAGUCAAGGGUCUAGCUAUCUUGGAGAAAUCUUUAAUAAACCGCAUAUAGAACCCUGCGUGGCCAAGGAAGCUUCUUAUUCCUUUUACCGAGUUCGGAGCUUGUAGGUUCACCAUCACCUCGAUCUUAGCCUUGUCUACCUCAAUGCCCUUCUCUGAUACCUUGUGUCCCAAGACAAUCCCUUCUUGGACCAUAAAAUGGCACUUCUCCCAGUUCAAGACAAGCCUAUGCUCCUCACACCGCUUAAUAACCUGAGAUAGAUUAGCAAGACAUUCGGAGAAAGAGGAGCCGUAUACGGAGAAAUCAUCGAUGAACACCUCAACUUUCUCUUCAAUUAGAUCAGAGAAAAUGUGCAUCAUACAUCUUUGAAAAGUGGUCGGUGCAUUACAUAAACCGAAAGGCAUUCUCCUAUAGGCAUAAGUGCCAUAAGGGCAAGUAAAUGAUGUUUUCUCUUGAUCUCGGGGGUCUAUAGGGAUUUGAAAGAACCCUGAGUACCCAUAAAGAAAACAAAAAUAAGGAUGAUUAGCUAGCCGUUCAGGCAUUUGAUUAAUGAAUGGUAAAGGAAAAUGAUAUUUUCUUGAUGCAGAAUUCAAUUUUCUAUAGUCAAUGCACAUGCGAUGGCCGGUUAUAGUUCUUUGGGCUAUGAGUUCAUCCUUAUCGUUUUUCACCACCGUGAUCCCACCUUUCUUGGGCACAACGUGUACAGGAGAUACCUACCGUGAGUCAGAGAUUGGGUAAAUUAUCCCUACCUCAAGGAGUUUUAGUAUCCCCUUCUUAACCACCUCUUUAAGGUUCGGGUUAAGGAGACGUUGGUGCUCAAUAGAGGACAUAGCUUGGUCCUCUAGGUGGAUCCUGUGGGUGCAUAUGUCAGGAGAGAUCCCUCUAAUAUCAGCCAAAGAAUACCCUAUGGCUCUCCUGAACUUUCUUAUUUCACUAAGCAAUGCACGCUCUUCAUGUUCAAGCAAGCUAUCGUUACUUAUCACAGGAAAGGUGGAGUUUAGACCCAAGAAAGCAUACCUGAGCCCUGUUGGUAGAGGCUUGAGCUCAACAGGGGGUGCAUCAGCCUCAUUCCAAUCGGCAUCAAAGCUGCAUUGGCUCGGAACAGCUUCCUCGGCCUUUUUCCUUGUUCUCGCGUGGUUUACCAUCGGCCUUGGCACAAGCUGUCACGGCCAUGAUAUCCCGAGGUGUCUCCUCUAUACCUUUGGACCCCUCGUUGUCUAAAAUUUUGAGGCCGCUCUGCCUGAGCUCCAAAAACCUCGUCUCAACUCCAAGUUCCUUCGGUUGGUCCAAAAGACGCUUGUACACCUCGCUUUCCUCGUUCAAGUAUCCGUGCUCGCUUUGUUCUCGUGUCAAGACCACUUGUAACGGGUCUUCUGCGUUUAACUCCUCUAAGAGCUCACCAGCUAGCUCUUCCAUAACCUCCACAUAGAAAACUUGACCUCCAAUGGUAGGUUUCUUCAUCAUUUCCUUCACGUUGAACUUCAUAGUCUCGGAACCGAUGUGUAGUUCAAUCAUACCCCCUCUCACAUCGAUUAUGGCUCCAGCGGUUGCUAAGAACGGUCGGCCCAAGAUAAUGGGGUCUAGGGGCUCCUCGUCCAUAUCAAGAACUAUGAAGUCCGUGGGGAUUUCUAUUUCACCGAUUCUCAAAGGUAAAUCCUCAAGCAAACCCACCGGUAAUCUAACCGAUCUAUCAGCUAACACAAGAGAGAUCUUGGCCGGCUUGUAGCUUUUGUAUCCCAGUCUCUUGGCCACCGUGUAAGGCAUUAAGCUCACAGAAGCUCCAAGAUCAGAUAAGCAGUUUGAGAACUUCAAGUGACCUAAAGCACACGGUAAAGUAAAGCUGCCCGGAUCGGAUAGCUUUCUUGGUAUAGAUCUUCUUUGUAUUAUAGCGCUGCACUCAUGGCUCAAUAUUACCAUACCCUGGAGCUCCUUUGUCUUGUUGAGGAUCGCGUCCUUUAGAAACUUUCCAAGCUGAGGUAUAGCUAAGAAAGCAUCUAUGAUGGGUAAGGUAAGUUGCGUGUUCUCCAAGUGUUUCUCAAAGACCGCCUUGGCUUUGUCUAGGAUUUUCUUUUUGAAAUGCCCUGGGAAUGGUAUCUUGGGUUGGUAAGGUGGUGGUGGAACAUAGGGCUUUUGAAGCUCAGGUAUCUUUUCCACCUCGUUACCUUUGUCUUCAACCGGUUCCUUCUCCAAAACCUCUUUUUUAUGCGCAUCAUCUGAGGCUGCCUCCCCCUCUAGUUGCUCAUUGGCCUCAAUGAGCUUUGUCUUAGGCGUUGGAGCUUGUAGUUCUUUACCACUCCUCUAUGUGAUGGCGUUCACAUACUCCUUGGGGUUUGGCUCCGGCUUACCUGGUAAAGCCGGGCCUCUUGAUGAUGUAGAAGCUUGGUUUUGCUUAAGCUCUCUGAUAUCUUGCUGCAUUGUUGCGUGCUGGCUCUCCACUCUCUGCUGACCCUGUAACAGUUGCUGUAAAAUCCCACAGACAUCGGUUCCCAUCUGAUUCUGACCCGUUCCCUGAAUCUGUUGCGGAUUACCCAUCGGCUGCGGAUUGAACCCUGGUGGAAACUUGUGUUGUUGCGGUUGGCUGUUGAAGUUGGUACCCUGAGUCGCCUGAUCCUGCUGAGUGUAACCGUGCUGUUGCCCACUGAACUGUUGCUUGGGCUGGAAGUUAUUCGGAAAUGGAGCUUUUUGAGCAUAGCUUUGUUGUUGUUGUUGAGCAGGGUAUACCUGGUCUUGAGGGUUAGCUACAUUUGGGUUUCUGUAAGAGAGGUUUGGGUUAUUGGUGUAGUUGGUAAACCGCUGAUACCUCUGCUGAUUCCCUAUGUAGUUCGGCUCCUCUUGAGUUAGACCAUCUUCAUUAACAUUGUCAAAACUAGGCCCUUGCUCAUCAAACUCGCCCACGAAGUGUAUUGGCUUUUGAGUCGCCAUUAAAACCUUGUCAAGCUUGCUCUGAAGUUCUCUUAUAUCCUUCUUCAUGCGCUGUUCAUCACUAGAUCCCUCUGAACGGUUUGCUCUAUCAAAGUCUUCACCAUACGUGUCAUUGGACAUGGCGAGGUUUUCCACUAGUUCCAUAGCCGCAUUGAUCUCUUUCCCAAGAAAAUUUCCAUUUGAAGCUGUAUCGAGUUGAUUUCUGAUCUUGGGGAGUGCACCUCGGUAUAAAGUACUCAAGAGGGAUGCCUCCGAGAAGCCGUGGUGUGGGCAUUGGUUAGUAUAGCUCCUAAACCGUUCCCAAGCUUCACUAAAGCUCUCAUUAUUGUGUUGCGUGAAACUUGAGAUCUGAUUCCUGAGCUUAGCCGUGCGUGAUGUGGAAAAGAACUUUGAUAAGAACGCCAGUUUACACUGUUCCCAUGUUUGUAUAGAACCCCUCGGGAGGUUCUUUUCCCACUGGUGAGCUUUAUCACCGAAGCUGAAUGGGAACAAGCGUAGCUUGAAGCUAUCUUCUGAGACGCCAUUGAUCUUUGUUAAGUCGCAAACCCGAUCAAACUGAUCUAGAUGCUCAAGAGGAUCUUCUCCGGCUAGACCGUGGUACUUGGAGUUCUGCACCAUAUUGAGCAGGGAAGCUUUAACUUCAAAGUUGUUAUUUUGAACCGGUGGUGCUUGAAUCUCGGCUCUAUAUUGGUGCGCAUUAGUUCGGUCAUUUUCUUCAACAAAGACCGGAGGAGAUUGUCUCUGAGCUUGUGGCGGUGGCGGAUGAACAUGAUGGGCUUGUUGCUCAUUUCUAUUCGCUUGUUGUUGGUUUUGCUGAGCAAGCCUUUCGUUUCUUUGAGCCUGUUGUUGGUUAACAUAGGCUUGUUGUUAAUUUCUUCCUGCCUGCGCCUGAUUAGCCUGAGCCUGGUGUUCGGCAUCCUGAGCCUGUUGCUCGAUCCUUUGCUGUUCUGCCAUUCCAAGCCUUUCAAAGUGCCGUUCGCUCUCGCGAGCUCGCCUCUCAAUCCUGUUGCUGUUAUUGUCGUAGGGUAAAGGCGGUUCUGUGCUGCGAGACCUGGUUUUCAUGCACCUGAAAUCAAAACAAGAACUUGCAAAAGUGUCAGUAAAACAAAAGAAAGUAAAGUCUUGAUCUUAAGCACAAAUAAGGGACUAAUGCUCCCACAAGUUGGCAACGGCGCCAAUUGAUAACUAAGAGUUUUCACUCUUUAAAGAGGUUACCAAUACCCCUGUCCUUGUAGUACAAGGGGUUAUCAAACCAAACUUGUGAUGGAGACACUAAUCUAUGUUACUUGUGAUCUUAAGUCAAGAUGAAAGGGUAAAGGUUUUAACUAAACUAUUCAACAAGUAAAUAAGCAUGAAAGUGAAGCAAAGACAAGAUUUAAACUAAGUGAAGAUGCAAAUGAAAAGCAAAUGAUUCGGAUGAUGAUAAUAUAUGAUAAAGGCAGAAGCUUUAGGCAGGAUACUUGACUCGGGUGCUUCCAAGCUAAACUAAUGGGUUGAUGAAUCAGAUUUAUCAAGCGGUUUCAUUUAACUUGAACUCAAAGCAUGUUAAUCUUCUCAUGAAAGUAUUAAACAUCUAAACUGAUCCUCUUUCAUACCAAAAUCCCUUUUGAGAAGCAUGAAUCAGUCAGCAAUAAGAUUCAGUUCAAUAUGUCAUUUAAGAGAACAAACUAUCACUCUCGCGAUGAAAGACUCUUAAACCUUUAACCGAGUGGUUCAGACAUUUCUACAAACACUUUUGAUGCGAGAUAUGUCUCAGAUCGGAACCUCAAGUGAUGUGCUUGGAUCCAGCCUAGAGAUCUCGUCGGUUAAAGAAUGAAACAUGCAAGACUAGACACCUAAACCCACUAAUCUAUCUUGAAAGCACCCUAAUCUACCUAUCUAAAGCCGCUUAAACGACUACUCACCGAUCAUAACGAGCUCACUAAGUCCUUUGCAAGACGUGUAGCUAGUCAUGAUUAGGAGUUUAAUACUGGAUGAUAAAAGAAAAUAAAGAAAGAACAAGAUUCAGAUGCAAAAACGAAAUAUUGGAUUAGAUUAAUCAAGUUUCACAAAAGAGGCAAGUUCUUAAGGCUAAAAGAUGAUAAGAGAUAAGAUGAUUAGGUUUUUGGUCCUAAAAUGUAUUUAUAGCAAAGGGAAAGUGUCGCGGGUCAGCCCAGAACAAACCGGGUACUGAGCCGCCUUCUCGGGUUGAUGGGUGAGUGCCACGGUGUGUCGGAGAGUGAAGCCGAGGCCUUGAUGUCGAGGAGUGCACGUGAGCAAAGAUCGAAAUGGAGAUCUCGUGAAGAACACGUCAAGAACAUGCAUGAACCCUAGUCUUUGAUCCGUCUUCACGUGUGUGUUCUUGAGCCGUCUUGUUCCUGAUUCUGGAGUUGUGACAAGAGACCUCGCCAUAAAAUGUCGCGGAGCUUGGUAGUCGAGGGGUUCGGGAGAAUAGAGUCCGGCAUGCACGCCGAGGCCAUUACACCGAGGUGCAAGUUCAACACUUAGUCAUUUCCAGCUUCAUUUCUUACGUGUGCAUGCCUUGAUCUCAUCAGGCCGAGGUGUCAGCACAAGAUCUUGUCCAAAAUAAUCCCAAGAUAUGAGCCUUGACUUGAGCAAUGUCGAGGUAAUGAUGCCGAGGCCUGAGAAAACACUUAGCGCGUAUUGUAACUCAUUUAGGCUUGUAUCGACCGACUUGCCUUCCGAAAACAGUAAUUUUCAACACACGACUCCAAUUGCUUUGAGACCAGUUCCAUAGUCAAGAUGACUCAAUAAGCUCAAACUUUGGUGAAGAAACCGUCGGAGCUUGGGGAGUGGAAGGCUUCCUGGAUUUCGCAUCUUUGCACCGCAUCAGAAUCACCGGAAAAUAAUCUUUUGGACAGAUGUGAACUCCGGAGACCGUAUCUUUCGAACCAUUACUCCGAAUUGAGUGAUUCUAAGCGUUUCGGAAAUUUCAUUCACAGAUCUCAAACGUUGAUGAAGACCGGGCAGGCUGAUUCGGACCGGAAGGGCUCCGUCCCUCGUAAUCUUUGAAGUCCGCUGUUCGGUUCUCGGUUGCGUGUAAUACUGGUGCAUCCUCCGGAGACCAUAUCUUUCUCCUCACUGGUCCGAAUUGGAUGAUUCCAACUGUUCUGGGAUCUUUGUUUGAUUAUCUCCAACUUUAAUGAAGACCCCGCCAACUGAUUCGGACCGGAAGGUUUCCCGGAUUGCUGAUCUUUGAAACGCGCGAGUAAGGAUGAGUUUUAACCGAGAAAAGCUUCCCGCGGUAAGGAAAAUGAUCGAGGGCUGUAUACCGCGGUAAGCUUUUUAGCCGUAAAAUCCUUCUCGCCUCGGCCUAAAAUUUCACCCGAGGGAAUUUUCACCCGAUACUCGAUUUUAACUGAUUUUGACCGUUCGGUAAGGGUUUUGACCGAGGUUCCAGUCCAGCCGGUACGAGUUUUGGCCAAGAAAUUCCUCCAAGUGGUUUUCACCAUUGUUAACCCUUUUUUUCACCGUUUUCUUUCCUGCUCCUCUUCUUGAGCUCCAAAUGGCCUCCAAAGCACCUGAUAAAGACUUCAAAACAUGCAAAACUCUUUGGGACCUAAUGCAAGCCCUAAAUCCUAUUUUGAUGCCUAAGGACUCAAUUUACAUGAGAAAACACAUGAUGAGGACUCUAAAAUGCAAUCUAAAUGAUGCAAAAUAUAGACAUAUCAUUCAUCCAAACAGAGCUUCAUAAACACCACAAAGGUUCUGACUCAAGAAAAAGAAAAACUUAUGUUAGUUCUUGUUGGUGUUGUAUUUACCCGUUACCGCUAAACUUUAAACAACCAACGACUUUAUUAAGUCUGACAUGGGCACGUUAAUCUUGGUGUCAGUCGCAUAAAUGCUCAAUUUUGAAGUUAUUAAACAAUAGCACGUAAAGAGUGACCAAGUCAAAAACAGAUCUUUGAUUACGAUCACGUAAAAAGAACUCUCCUCAUAUCGCGGGCACGUGAGGACGUGAGAAGAAGUCGUCCAAAAGCGAGCAAGGUGAAGCACGUGCAACAAUAAACCUACAUGUAACAUGAAAAUCAACUCCUAUAAAAAUUCGAAAGCUAUCUUCACUAAGGGAAUCCAUUUUUACGCUCGAAGAGAGGAAUGCAACUAGUCUAAUAAUUCUACUUCAACUAAAAAACUGUUACCGAGAAGUUGAUAUACCAAGAAGUUGAUACGAUUAUACGAAUUUAUUUCGAAAGAUACACAUAUCUGAUGUACUUUUAAUUUAUCGGCACAUUGUAAGUAAAACCCCAAGUAAAAAGGUUGCUUUUCGAUAUCUAAGUAAAUUAGACGCUAGACAUUGAGUUUUUGAUCGAUUAUUGCCAAAACAUUUCUAAGUCCCGUCACACUAGAUGGGAUCAUGGGAACAUUCUAAGAAAGUGGACUCUUAAUCUUAGGAUGGGUAAGAUAUGAUGAAAAUGACAUGAUCAUUAAGUAUGGUCCGAUUCACGGCACGAUUCCUCACAAUAUUUGUUUGAUUAAAACAAAAAGGCUAACUAAUGGUAAUUAAAAAUUACUUUCGAUAUGUUAUUUAUGUAUUUCUUUUCUAUUUAUAAAUUCAUUUUAUCUAUAUACUUAUUUGUGUAGUAAAAAGCUGAAGUGUCGUACUCACAACAAAUUUUAUAGUGUUUCGCUUACGUGUCAUCGCCAGAAUGAGUUUCAGCUGCAAAAAGACAUUUUUACCUCAUUUAGUUACUACGUUUGAUUGGUCCUUAUGUGAUCUAUAUACUUAUUUGUGUAGUAAAAAGCGAAGUGUCAUACUCACAUCAAGUUUUAUAGUGUUUCGUUUACGUGUCAUCGCCAGAAUGAGUUUCGGCUGCAAAAAGACAUUUUUACCCCAUUUAGUUACUACGUUUGAUUGGUUCUUAUGUGAUGUUGUGUUAAAAAUCACUCAAAACAAACCACUCUAAAUUAUUAUGGUUUAAUGCUUAAUUUCACUGUCAAAUAAAACCGUCUCUAAAAUUUUAUAAAACCAAAAUAAAAAAAAAUCUAACAAAAAAGUAAAAAAAAAAAUUCUAUGUAUCUGACUAAUGGAAUGUCUUUAAAAAAAAAAAAUUCAUCUCUAACUAAUGGAAUGUCGCUUAUUUGUAUAGUGAUUUGUUUAGGUGUCGGUUCCACAACGAGUUUCAGAAUGUUUUGCUCAUGUGUCAUCUCCAGAAUGAGUUUCAGCUACAAAAAAAACCUUUUAACCCUAUUUUUGAUUACAUGUCAUUUUUUUAUUGGUUAUUAUCUGAUGAUGUCUUAAAAUAAUUUAAAACAAACCGCUCUAAAUUAUUGUGGUUCAAUGUGUCAAUCAAACCAUUUUUAAAAUUUUAUAAAACUGAAAUUUAGUAAAAAUCUAACAAAAAAUUAAAAUUAAUAAAUAAUCUAAUGGAAUGACGGUAUUUUGUGAUGUCUAGAUUAUGGUUUUGACUUCAAAUAUUUUAUUAUAAAUAUUUAAGACUUCUUUCUAAUUCUCUCAAAUCCUUCUAAAUUGUUCAAUCUCUUAUUUUUUCUUCAAAUAAGUUCGUACAGUAGUUAAAAAAACUAUGUCUAAAAUACAUAGACAGUGAUUAAAACCGAAUAAGUUCGUACGGUACUUCAAAAAACUACUUCUAAAAUACAUAGGACAGUGAUCAAAAGAUCUCAAAACUAUUUAAAAUAAAUUAUUUGGAUACUAAUAUGUUUUUAUCUAUUAUUUUCUACACUGUUUUCUUGAUCAUGUCUUCAAAUAUUAAAAAAUGCAAGAAAAUCUAACAAACAAAUAUACUCAACAAUAGAUAAUAAAAAACAAAUGAAUCCAAAUUACAAUUAAAUUUUCAAACAAUCAAAUGAGAAAUUAUAUCAGCCUGCGCUUGCGCAGGCACGGAAAAAUUUCACUAGUUUCUGAAUUAUUUAUACCGCAAAAAUAAUAAUAAAAAAUAAUAUUUUCUCCAUAUCUCAUUUCCAACUUUAAAAAAAAAAUACUUUAGAAAAUAAUAUCAUAGUUGUGGCGAACGUUCGAAUCAGUAUGUACAUUUAAUCUAUAUUAUUAGUUGAAUAGACAUUUACAUAAAUGAAUUUUUAUUUGUAAGAUAUUACAUAAUAUUUCAAUAAAUAAAUAUUUCUUUAUAAAAUAUUACAUAAAUUGACCUUUAUUUAGAAGAUAUUACAUAAAUAAAUUUUACAAAUAGAAAAAACUUAAUUAAAUAUUUCUCAUAGUUAAAUAUAUAGUUUACAGAUUUGUUUUGAAUAUAUAUGGAUAUAAAUCAAAAGUGUAUUUAAUUUCUUUACUUAUUAAAAUAUUAAAAUAUAUUCUAUUAUUUUAAAUAAUAAUAAAUCCAUAUAAAUUUAAAAAAUCUAUUUAAACUUUUGCAAUCUUUUUAUUUGUAUUUUAAUAAUUCGUAUUAUUUUCAAAAAUCCAAUUAUUUUUAUUAAAAAAAAAUUUUAAUAUAUUUUUAAAAUUUAAAUUGUUUUUUUUACAGGUUGGCCAAAAAAAUAUUAUAGUAAAUUAUAAAGUAAAUUAAGUAGACGGAUUUAUCCGCUUUAACAAUCCUAUAUAUAAUCAUUAUUAACACAUAUUAUAUAAUUUAUUAACUAAAAUGAUAGUUUGAUCUCUAAUAAAAUAUUCACAGUUAAAUUCUUAUUAUAUAUAUAUAUAUAGAUAUAGAUUAUUAUCUAUAUUAGUAUGUAUAUAAGUAUAUAUAUAUAUAUAUAUUAACAUCAUAUCAUUUUCAUAUUUAAAAAUUACUAAUAAUUUAACCACAUAACAAAAGUAGCUAUAAAGUCUCAUUUGAUGAUAUAUAUAAGUAAAUAUCGGUUCUGUGAUAUUUAUUUAUGUAUUGUUAUCUAAUUGAAAUUCGUUUUAUUUAUUUAUAUUUUUUGUUAAAAAAAUUUUGCCACCAAUUUAAUUUAAUCAAAAACAUUAAAAAUAAAUUUAAAAACAAUUUAAAAAAUACUAGAUGAGAACCCGCGCAAACGCGCAGAUAUUUUAUAGAUUAUUUUGUUUAUCUCUUUUAAUGUUAUUUUAGUUUAUUACAUAUAUGUUAUUGCAUCAACCUUUACAUCUACACUUUCAAACUUCAUUGUCCACUUGAUCUUUCACUAAAAAUAGUAUGCAGUUCAUUUAUUCUUUUAUGUUGGUGUGUAAAGUUGUGGAAAAUAUGAUCCUAAAAUCCUCAAAAUCUAAGCAUAAUCCUAAAAUCUUAAUAAAGUUUUGACUGUAAAUAUAUUUUUCUUCUUUAAUUAGAUCUUUACAUGAUGUGUUUAACCUUAUAUGGUUUAAUCUUGUACAUUUUACUUAGUUGUCUUCAUUUGUUCUAUUUAGGAGUUUAUAAUCAGUGGCACAUAACAAUAUUGUUUUAUCGAUGAAAAUUCUGUAAAACAUACAACUCGCAAGUUCAUAUAUAGUAAAUUUUGAAAUACCUUUUGAACAUAGAAGCAUUGUUAAUCUAAAAGAAAAAAGAUGUAGAACACGGUAUUGUUGUUUUUGUAAUAUGUUGGUAAGACUUGAGAUACUGAAACUCUGGUCUUAUUCCUUUACCUAAAGAGUACUCUGUCUCAUUUACAACCUGUAAUGUGUACGAUAUAUUUGAUAACUCUAUUUGAUACAAAGACUUCUGUUUCUAGUAAAUACUCUCUAUGCAAGUCAUAUACAAAUUCUUGUACUCGCUUAACAAACUCUCCAACUUCUUCAGCUCGAUCUUAUCAUCUUCUUCUCUUUUUCUUCUCAUCUUCUUCUGCGUACAUAGGCCCUCUGUGGCUUAAAAAAAAUAUAACUACUUAUGUGUGCCUUAGCCGUGUUAUAACUUGCAUCUUCUACAAGAAAGGUUUCAAAAGUCUAUAGGAAACGCAAACUACAACUCAAGAAUAUGAUGGUGUAACUGAGGAUGUCGUUGCAGCAAUUCCUUACAGAUUAAGCACAAAACAUGAUUUCUUAAAACAUAAACAGAACAGUUUGAAUACGUGAUGCAUCAAAACAGAAUACAUGAAUCUAAACCAAAAACAAAACAUUUUCAACAUGGCGUAAGAAUGUCUAACCUCUGCUUUAGAAUUAAUCAGAGGAGCAUCUGAAGAAUUCUUGUAAUUCUCGUAUCUCAAAAGCGUUUGCGUCAUGCUACGAAGCAGAUGAGAAAUUACAGGGAGAGCAGAACGAGAAGUGAGAGUUAGAUUAUAAUUACGACUCUCUUCAGCUGGGAACUUAGAACAAACAUGCAAGUAUCUAAAUUACAGCAGAAUUCGACGAAGAGGAACACACGAUUAAGCCUCCAGAAAUCGGUUAAUCAAAUCGACGAAGAGGAACACACAAUUAAGCCUCCACGAUCAAGCUUGCCAGACUUGGAGAAGACGAUGACGCGGCAACCUCAGCAUUGCAAAGAGUAGAUAGCUCGCGAGCCUUCUUAAACAACCCAGAACGCCUCUUCGAAAAGGUAACUUGCCUGCUAUUCACAUGAUCGAGCCUCUUUAUCACGAUUUUUGCACAACCCAUCUUAAUUUGACUAUCGCAUAGAACAUCAUAUAAGAGCAAGGUGCAAUCUUUCGUUCGUCUUCAAAUCGAAAAAAUAGGCAUACUUAGAGGGAGAUAUUGAAUUUAUAGUCGGCGUGAGAGAAGGAAUUCCAGUCCAUAGAGAGAGUGAUUGAUAGAGGGAGUAGGGAUUAAUUACAGUCGAUGAGAAAACGGUCGAAGCGAGGAAGACGGUUGAGCUACGGAUUGGUAUUCAAUUUCUGGCUUUUACUAUUAGGAGCUUAACCUCACAUACUCUUCUCCCUUAUAAGAAAUUAUAAUAUAUUUUUUCUAUCUUUAUAUUUUGUUUUUAAUUUUCUUUUUAAUACAAAAGGUAUAAAAAAACCAAAAAACCAUUAAUGAAUAACCAAAUUACAUAUUCAAUUCAGAAUACCGAACUCAAACCAAAAUCCAAUUUAAAUAACCAACUUAACCGAAAUGAUUAAACUAAAUCAAUUUAAUUAUUUUAAACCAACCUUUAAACCAUCCAAUUUAAUUAAACCAGAAAGCAAACCUAAACCUAAACCCUACCCCCUAAAAAUCGGAUCUAUUCCCGCCUCCUUCGUCUCCCCUCUUCGAUUCCAUUAUCUCCAUACUCCAUCAUUUUCGGACUCUUCGAUUCCAUCAUCUUCUUCCAUCAUUUUCGUCAUCAUCUUCUUCCUCUUCGAUUAAAUCCUCACACUCUUCGCUCACCGCCACUCACUCGCACUCACUCUCCACUCUUCACCCUUCUGAUUUAGGGUCGUCGCCGUCGCCGUUUUAGGCUUGCCACCACCGCCGUUUCACACUUCCGUCAUCGCCGAACAGGUAUCUACUAGGCUUAAGAGUAAUUAAAACCUUAAUUUAUGAUUUUCUUCCCUCAACCCUAAACCCCAACUGAUUUCUGAUUUUUUGUUUCAGAAUUUUUGGAGGAUGUCGACUAAGAGUUCACCUUCUCAACCAGAGAGAUCUGAGGCUGAGUAUGCUACUGCAUCAGAAGAAGGAUUGGGUUCAAACUCAAAUGUUGAUCCAUUACAACCGGUAUGUAGUUUAGUACAACUAGAAUUAUCGUGUACAAUUGAGUUUUGCUUGUGGUCUACCGGUAUGUAGUUUAGUACAACUGGAAUUAUCGCGUACAACUGAUUUUUGCUUGUGGUUGAACGAAAUGUAGUUUAGUACAACUGGAAUUAUCGCGUACAACUGAUUUUUGCUUGUGGUUGAACGAAAUGUAGUUUAGUACAACUGGAAUUAUCGCGUACAACUUAUUUUUUGGUUUUGCUUGUACCAAGAAUACUAGUUGUACCAAGAAUACUAGUUGUACCAAUACACUUAUAUUCACUUAUCCUAUGCGUUUUGAUUGCAGCAAGAGGACGUCUCAAUACCGAUGGAACCUCGAUGUUUAUUCUUCAAGCAAAGCGAGUAUCGGUUAUACCCGAAGCUUCAAUCAAGGUGUGAAACCUUUAAUUUCAUGGAAGUCUUCAAGAGGCUUGAUAUCUCAGAGAGAAACUGGUUUGAGAACCACCCACAAUUCAAGCAUAUUGUCCACAUGUUUAUCCAGAAGAAUAGAAUGUUAAUGGGAAUGUGGAUGUUGCUUCUCCGAACAGCAGUGACAGACAAGCAGCGGCAGUGUUGGUUUGUUGUGAAUGGUGUGCCUGUUCGGUAUUCAAUCAGAGAACACGGCCUUCUUUCAGGAUUAUUCUGCCACCAUUAUCCAGCCAACUAUGAGCAGUUAGGGAGUAUGUAUUUUGUGGAGGAGCAGUUUGGAAAGACUAAUAUUGAGGUGAAAGAGGUGCGUGAGAAGCUGGAAUCAAUGGAUUUCAUUGAAGGUGGUACUGAUCGGUUGAAGAUGGUUGUACUUUUCUUCUUAGCAACUGUCAUCAAAGGAAAGUCCAAGAAAUAUGGUGGAUCCAUAGACCCAUUCAUUCUCUGAGUGGUGGAUGAUCUGGAUCUGUGUGAAAUGUUUCCCUGGGGUCGUUUCACUUUUGAUGACGUCUUAGCUGAGGUUGCACAUCUGGUGGAUCAUUUUGGAGGAUCUGUUCGAGGGAAUUGGACUUUUCCGGGGUUCAUAUUGCCUUUAGAGGUAAUGUUAUAUGUUUUAAAUUCAGUAUAACUUGUACAACUAAAAAUCGUAGUAUUAGUAUAAUUAGUAUUCUUGGUUCAACUUGAUAUAGUGUAUAGGUAGUAGUAUUGGUACAACUCGUGUUUCGGGUACAACUAGUUGAACUGGUAUUAUUGGUAGAACUGGCAUAACUAGUACGUUUAUAUGUGCAGAUUUUGGCGUUUGAAUCUAUCCCGGUUCUAAAAGCAGCAUUUCAAGAAAAAGUUGGGAAUGCAGAUGGUGAUUGUCCAAAAAUGUGCAAGUGGAAGUUUAAGAGAACAGGCAAAACAGGAUUUUCUUUAGCUGAUAUUUAUGAAGUGCUUGGAGAUACAAAGGUUUAGGAGUCUCCUUUAAUUUUAUAUUUAUACAUUAUUAGAGAUUUAGUUUAAUUUAAUUUUUGUUUUUCGUUAAACAGGAUAUUAUUAGUAUCUUGGUACCUGAAGACGGAGAAGCCAAACUCUUGCUUGACAUCCUAGACAAGCAUGUAUGGGAUGACUUCGAAGUAGGAGAGGAUGAUGCUGUUUCUGACCCUGUUGUUGAUAGUUGGCACACGAUUUUAGUCCAACAAAAGAAGAAGAUACACUUGAAGGAUCUGUACCUAUUAGAUGUUAAAUCCCUAGAAGACCAGCCAUUGCCCAAACCGACAGAUACUGAAGCGGUAGGAAGUGAGGAUGUGUUGAAGAAGAUGGAAGAAGGGUUUAUAAAGAUUAACGAGAAAAUGGAAGAAGGGUUUAGCAAAGAAACCACGCUACAAAAUAUGUAUGCGGAAGAGUGCUGAGGCUAAAAGGACGGCUGAGCUCAUUAGGAAUAGGAGAAAGGGUAAACCAUCGAGGCAUAUAUCCACUCCUUAUGAAAAUGAUGCACCAGGAGAAAGGAAAAAACGAGAGGCUGCAAAAAAAAAGUAGAAGAAACAAGUUUUUUUUGGUUUUUGUUGAAACUAGUUAUUGGUUUUUGGUGAAACUAGUAGAUGGUUUAGGUUGAAACUAGUAGGAGGUUUUUUAUGUUUGGUGAAACAGGUUUUAGUGGUAUGUUAAAACUACUAAGAGGUUUACUGUUUUAAUUAAAUUAUGUUUUCAGAUUUUUUAGUACAACUGGUAUUAUUGCGUACAACUAUUGUUGUUGAAACUAGAACAAAAUGAAAUUUUCAGGCCCAAAAACCACAUGUGCGCCGUCAAAUUACACGAGCGCCGUCAAAUUACACGAGCGCCGUCAAACUACACGAGCGCCGGCAAAAUAAUUAUAAAAAUAAUUAAUUACUUUUUUCGCACCGUCAAAUAAUAUACAAAGUUGUACCCAAGUAGGUAAGUUGUACUCUCUUUUUUUUUAUUACACAGAGUUGUACUUUCAUAGAUAAAACGAUUUUAUUAGUUAUAUCGUACUAGAAAUUACAUUUUUAUUGUUGUACUUUUGAAAAUAGUUAAUAAUAAGACAUUUAAGACACAUAUAGAUAAUUAAAUGUAUAAAAUUAUGUUUUUUUGUUAAUUUCUUAUAACUAUAUAGCAUUAGUUGUAAUAGUUGUCAUAGAAGUAUAAGGUAUAUGUUAUGAAAAUAUGAUUUUUGUGUUCUCAAUAUUCAAAAAUGCACCAAGUUGGAUUUACAUCAUCAAAAUAGAUAUGAAACUAAAUCCUUAAACACAUACUGCUUUCCGAAAUGCGGUAUUUUAAAUAAAAUAAAAAAAAGAAAGAAAAAAAAAGAUCCAGUACCUGAUAGUUGUACUAGUUGUACCCGAUAGUUAUACUAGUUGUACCUGAAUAGUUAUACUAGUUGUACCCGAUAGUUGUACUAGUUGUACAGCGAUUACUAUUCUCCUUCCUCUUGCUCUGGUACAUUAGGAUCAUUAAACAACCAUGCUCCUAGUCCUCUUCCUCUUCCUCCUCCUCUUCCUCCUCUUCUUCCUCUUCCUCUCCCUCGAUGUUCUCCAACUGAUGGAUGCCUAGUUGUGUUGAUGCGUCCUUUUUUCUUAAUUAUUUCUGGAGGAAAUAUACAUUUUGCUCGGAUAUUGUUAGGAACAACCCAGUCAUCUUUAUGGGGGAUUGGAUAGAUUGUCCUGCAGUAAGCCAAACGACCAAUGUUCCAUCCAAUAAUAGUGGGAGCAAAAUUCACGUAGAUGGAGCUCUCUAUCCCCGCUCAUAAAGAUAGCAGCUGCUAUUGCAUGCACACACGGAUACUUAUCGAUAUCAAACCUCUUGCAACUGCAACUUUUAUUUCUCAUAUCAACCAGAUAAACCUUGCCAUCAUGCCCAAUCACAUUGUACUCAAGGUGGUAGCUGUUUAACUCAUGCACCGUCAAAGUAUUUGCUUCCACACAUCUCACAUGCAUUUCGUUCUCCACAUAUGGCACAAGCUUAUGUGCCGUAGAAACUUCAUUAGACGCCUUCCUAUACUUGUUAAACCAUUCAGCUAAUUUUGCAAUAAUCACAUCAAUCAUUGGUAACAGCGAGUAUUUCCUUGCUUCUACAAAAAAGCCAUUGAUAGAUUCUGCACAAUUGGUGGUGUCUAUGUUAUACCUGUCUCCGGGAAAAUAGCAUCUUGCCCAUUUCUCCUCACCAACAGUUCUGUCCAGAUAGUCGGCUGCAUCUGGAUACAUUUUCCUAAAAGCACUAUAUAGUGUCAAGAAUUCAUUCUCUCUAUAAGCAUGAGCACAAGCUCGGAACUUCUUCGCACAAGUCGCUCUAUUGACUCCACUGACAUUCCCUUUCACGUUUUGAGACAAAUGAUAUAUACAAACACCAUUCUGAGACAAUGGAAAGACCUCACGUAUUGACUUGAGGAGACUUACGUUUCUAUCAGAAAGAAAAACCAGGUCAGGAACAUCUGGUACAACUGAUCUCAACUUGCUCAUAAACCACAUCCAACUUGCCUCUUUCUCACCAUCAACUACACCAAAAGCAAUUGGAUAAUGAUGAUGGUCAGGAUCCUGAGCUGUAGCAACAAUUAAAACACCACCAUAUGCAUUUUUAAGGUGGGUAGCAUCCACAGCAAUCACUUUUCUCAUGACUCGAAAACCCUCAAGGCAAGCUCCCAAGGCAAAGAAUAGAUACUUAAACCUGUUUCCCUCAUCCAAUUCCACAUAAGUGCGUGUACCAGGGUUCAUGUACUCUAGCAUAUACAAAUAAGAGUGCAACAACUGAUAACUCUCCUCUGGACUUCCCCGCACAUCAUUAGCAGCUGCUCUUUUACCUCUCCAUGCAGUAGAGUAUGAUACUUUAACACCAAAUGCGUUUUGAACCAAACCAAUCAGUUCUUGUGGUGCUGGAGUUUUAAGUUUGCCUGGAUAAUCAGAAUGGCAAAUAGACCUGACCAACUGUGGUGUGCCUUUCCUUCGAUUUUUGCUUGUAACUGUAGUAGCUCGAGAACAUGUAUGAAUCUUGAUGUACGUUCUAACUGAGAAAAGAUCUGAAUUCUUCGUCUUUGCAGCUCGUAAAUACCACUUACACCCAUCUUUUGCUCCACGACAUUUUAACACAUAUCGACGUGUAUUUGACUGGAUGAUAUCAAACUCAAAACCAUUUUUACGGGAGGCUACAAACACUAAUUCUUGUAAUGACUCCUUUUUGCCAAAUUCUUGUCCUACAACUAAAUCAAUACCAUCUUCCCAUGUAUGAUUCACGUACACAUCUCCUUCUACAGCAGGUGCCACCUCAAUAUCAUCAUACAUACCAAAGUCUUCAUGCACAUUAUUUCCAACAUCUUCACCAUCUUCACCAUCUUCAGCAUCUUCACUAACAACAUCUUCUUUCUGCGGUUCUGAUGGUUCACCUUUGUAAAAAGUAUCCAUACCAUCAUUAACAUCAUCACCAUGUUGUGGCUCUGACGGUUGCACAAAUCCCUCAUUUUGCUCAACAUCUGUGAUGAGCUCCACAUGCAAAACCCUUCUACAAUGAUUAUUAUUCACUUGCAUUAGAUAACCAAAUACAUCUUCAUCAUUCCGAACAUAUGAUGGCUUCUUGGGAUCCAAUAUCAGUGGAAAGUAGCUAAGUCUAAGCUGCAUCAUAGCUCCAUCUACCAUAAGCUUUUUGCAAAUUUUAUCAACCAGCCCAUUGUAAGUGAUCUCUUCCAUAGAUGUCUUAAUCACUAAAGUAUGAAUUUCAACCUCUUCUGAGUUCCACCUCAUGUAUUCACCGUCAUUUGAAUAACAUCCCCCCGAAUCAAAACAUAUGAUUGUGCAUCGAGUGUUACUCAUCAUUCUGUUAAAAGAAAAAAUAAAAACUGUUAGAAUAUAUUUAUAGUUGUACACCAGUAGUACUAGUUGCACCAGUUGUCUAAGGAAAACCAGUUGUACUAAAAGCUUAUGGUUACAGAUCGACGCUUCUGAAGAUUCAUACGUAUUCUAGUACUCUAGUAUACUUAAAUAACCAAUGUAAAGCCCGAACAAACGUAUACAUAAGUUUACUAACAGAAAAAAAAACCACAAAUAUAAUUUCUAAACCCUAAAUGCAUAAACUCGUUUUUUUGUUGAAAAAAGAAGAAUUUACCUUCAAAUCACGUUCUGGGUCGUCGAGAUCAGCUGAAGAAAUGCUGCAGGAUAUGUAUUUGUCAAGGGUUGAAGAUCGCUGAAGCUUCCAGAGUUUCGAAGGAAGAUCGCUGAAGCUUCAAGGGAGCUGUAAAAUUUUUGUUUUCUGGUUUCACGUACGAAGAAGAAAGAAAGAAGAAGAAGAGAGUGGGUCCCAUUAACAUUAGUUGUUGUUAGAUGGUUGGGCUGGGUAGGUUCAAAGUAAAA